AUUGAACGCUGGCGGCAGGCCUAACACAUGCAAGUCGAACGAGUGGCGGACGGGUGAGUAAUGUCUGGGGAACUGCCUGAUGGAGGGGGAUAACUACUGGAAACGGUGGCUAAUACCGCAUACCCUCGGAUGUGCCCAUAUGGGAUUAGCUAGUAGGUGGGGUAAAGGCUCACCUAGGCGACGCUCCCUAGCUGGUCUGAGAGGAUGACCAGCCACACUGGAACUGAGACACGGUCCAGACUCCUACGGGAGUCAGCAGUGGGGAAUAUUGCACAAUGGGCGCAAGCCUGAUGCAGCCAUGCCGCGUGUAUGAAGAAGGCCUUAGGGUUGUAAAGUACUUUCAGCGGGGAGGCGUUACCCGCAGAAGAAGCACCGGCUAACUCCGUGCCAGCAGCCGCGGUAAUUC
rnacentral:rRNA from 1 species